CGCGUAGGCGGCCGUGUGCGUCAGAGGUGAAAUCCCCGGGCUUAACCCGGGAACUGCCUCUGAUACGGCAUGGCUUGAGUCCGGGAGAGGGGAGCAGAAUUCCCAGUGUAGCGGUGAAAUGCGUAGAUAUUGGGAGGAAUACCAGUGGCGAAGGCGGCUCCCUGGACCGGUACUGACGCUGAGGCGCGAAAGCGUGGGUAGCAAACAGGAUUAGAUACCCUGGUAGUCCACGCCGUAAACGAUGGGUGCUUGGUGUCGGGGAUAUCGACCCCUCCGGUGCCGAAGCUAACGCAUUAAGCACCCCGCCUGGGGAGUACGGUCGCAAGGCUGAA
rnacentral:rRNA from 1 species